rnacentral:rRNA from 1 species
AGUGAACGCUGGCGGUAGGCCUAACACAUGCAAGUCGAACGGCAGCACAGUAAGAGCUUGCUCUUACGGGUGGCGAGUGGCGGACGGGUGAGGAAUACAUCGGAAUCUACUUUUUCGUGGGGGAUAACGUAGGGAAACUUACGCUAAUACCGCAUACGACCUACGGGUGAAAGCAGGGGAUCUUCGGACCUUGCGCGAUUGAAUGAGCUGAUGUCGGAUUAGCUAGUUGGCGGGGUAAAGGCCCACCAAGGCGACGAUCCGUAGCUGGUCUGAGAGGAUGAUCAGCCACACUGGAACUGAGACACGGUCCAGACUCCUACGGGAGGCAGCAGUAGGGAAUAUUGGACAAUGGGCGCAAGCCUGAUCCAGCCAUACCGCGUGAGUGAAGAAGGCCUUCGGGUUGUAAAGCCCUGUUGUUGGGAAAGAAAAGCAGCAGGUUAAUACCCCGCUGUUCUGACGGUACCCAAAGAAUAAGCACCGGCUAACUUCGUG